rnacentral:rRNA from 1 species
UACAGAGGUCUCAAGCGUUGUUCGGAUUCAUUGGGCGUAAAGGGUGCGUAGGCGGCGUGGUAAGUCGGGUGUGAAAUCUCGGAGCUUAACUCCGAAACUGCAUUCGAUACUGCCGUGCUUGAGGACUGGAGAGGAGACUGGAAUUUACGGUGUAGCGGUGAAAUGCGUAGAUAUCGUAAGGAAGACCAGUGGCGAAGGCGGGUCUCUGGACAGUUCCUGACGCUGAGGCACGAAGGCCAGGGGAGCGAACGGG